GACGAACGCUGGCGGCGUGCUUAACACAUGCAAGUCGAACGGAAAGGCCCUGCUUUUGUGGGGUGCUCGAGUGGCGAACGGGUGGGUAACACGUGAGUAACCUGCCCUUGACUUUGGGAUAACUUCAGGAAACUGGGGCUAAUACCGUAUAGGAGCUCCUGCUGCAUGGUGGGGGUUGGAAAGUUUCGGCGGUUGGGGAUGGACUCGCGGCUUAUCAGCUUGUUGGUGGGGUAGUGGCUUACCAAGGCUUUGACGGGUAGCCGGCCUGAGAGGGUGACCGGCCACAUUGGGACUGAGAUACGGCCCAGACUCCUACGGGAGGCAGCAGUGGGGAAUAUUGCACAAUGGGCGGAAGCCUGAUGCAGCAACGCCGCGUGCGGGAUGACGGCCUUCGGGUUGUAAACCGCUUUCGCCUGUGACGAAGCGUGAGUGACGGUAAUGGGUAAAGAAGCACCGGCUAACUACGUG
rnacentral:rRNA from 1 species